rnacentral:lncRNA from 1 species
GUACAAUUGUCUGGGGAUUGGACACUAGCCGGAAAAAAUUAUCUUGAUUCCUAUUUCACCAUAGCAUGCUUUUAUUUCAGUAAUGAAUCAAUCAGUCCCCCUCGUACCAUGGACAAAGUGAGCAAGAGGACAUAAUGCUGUAUCAACCAUUUGUCUUAUUUCUACAAAAACUUGGAUUGAAUAUUCCCGGUGAAGCUGGAAACAUGUAUGCUCGCAUUUCUUAUGACUGGAAUCCAAACAUUCUCUUUGCUCUCGCUAAGAAACUUGGGCCCAUUGAUGAGAAAAAACUGAAGUUCGAUCCAACCCUGCUACUAAGACACGAUGGCUCAAAAGAUAUCAAGGACCCCUUAUUUGAUGACAAUCAUUUUGCUGUGCCAUGUCCAAAACUUGCUCCAUUCGCCAGCGAUACACUUCCAAAAAAUACCAUGCAGCAGUUCUCAGGUGGAGGCCAAUGGAUGCAGGUGGUUCAAAAGUCAAAGAGCCUCUCUACGUUCCUAGCUCGUGAGUAUUUAUCAUUCUCUAUCUCUCGGAACUGCUUGAGUAUGGAGAUUCUCCUAAAAUGACCAGAAUAUUAGAAAGAGGAUUUUUCUAUUGUGCAGGCGUUGUGGUGCAACUUGAAAACGGUCAUGUUAACCCUUUCCACUCAGGUGUCGAGCAGGACUCGACAAAUGUCCUUUAGGGGUUCCGCUCAGGUGUCGAGCUGUGAUCGACAAAAUUUCCGUCUCCCUCAACGCUUGGAAACAAUGUAAAUAAUGGCCAUGGAAACCUGUCUGCGCUCGUGCUGCGCUCUCUGGUGACAUACGGAACUACUUGUUAACCUGAGUUCAAAAUUUCACCGCUAGGGGUCACGGGGAGCCAUCGCUCCCAAAAACCUUCAAUUUCGGCCAAAUUAAAUCAGAGUUGGGGGAGGUUCACCUGAAAAAAAAUUUGAGUGGAAAGGGUUAAAAAAAUCGAGUCCCAUAGGUAAUUUCAUCUAGUUUUAUCUAUGAAAGUAAUAAGUCAUACAGAAGAGCAAUUUGAGGAUUUUCCUAGAUGAUGCUCAAAGUGAUUAUUU